UUGCUCCUGACUCUGUGCCCACA
rnacentral:miRNA from 1 species